rnacentral:sRNA from 1 species
GUCCAGUUUGUUCAAGAACCUGUCCAUUUGCUCAUACGACCAAGAUAUACUUGUCAUAAGUGCUGAUUACUUUCCGGAAAGAUAAAGUUUGGGAUCAAGAAACUCAAGUUUGAGACCCAGAUCCAUCUACUAACUCUGCUGUUAACUCUGUACCAUUAGAAAGUGGAAAAAGGAAACACUAAAAACAGGAAAAUAUGUGUAAUAUCUGCAGAAUGGAAGAUAUGUAAUUCACUGAGCAGCUGAAGAAUUAAAUCAGAGAUGGAGUCUCACUUUGUCACCCAGGCUGGAAUGCAGUGGCACCAUCUUGGCUCACCACAACCUCCAGCUCUCAGGUUCAAGCAAUUCUCCUGCUUCGGCCUCCUGUGUAGCUGGGAUUACAGGUGUUUUACAGGAAGCUAAUAAUUCACUUGUUGUUACUACAACAAAACCAUCUAUAACAACACCAAAC